rnacentral:misc_RNA from 1 species
CCGAGCCCGCGGCCACAAGGCCAGCGACUCCCGUCCUUUGUCUUCCGGAUACCACGCUUCGCUUCGGCGGGGGAACCCGCCGGCGGACCUUUUAAACCGUCUUUUUAAACGGUGCAGUCGGAGGUGUCUUUUUUAAAUAGACCA